UUCACACUUUGCUUUCCAUACUUCUCUUCACUACCAUUUCUAUGCCUCUGUCACACACCUGUUUCUCUCAUUCCUUAGUUUCUUCAUCAGAUCAUUCCAUUGCCAUUCCAACUCCACACAGCUUCACAUGUUUCUAUUGUUAUUUUCUCAUUUACAUUCAGAACAUUCUUCUUCAUUCAUAUCAUCUUACCUCAUCCUCAUUGGUUCACCUUUCACCCUUGGUUCCUCCACUUUUCUGGGUUCUCCCAUUCUCUGUUUCUCUAUUGGUUGAAUUUAUCAUGUGACAUUAUUUUUGAAUAUAUUUGAAUGUAUUAUUUGUGAAGGCAAUGCCUAGUGAGGUCUGCAUUGCAGACCAAUAAAUCAGAGCACUACUAGACUUCAUUUUGGUCAACAUCUUUAUUUUUGAGUUUAGUUCAAUAUAAUAUGAGUUUGCUUGUUUCUGACUGAUUUGUGAGGUAGACAUGUUAGAACACUCGGCCACACUACAAUAACAUGUCAGUAAAAUCGGCUAUCUCAAUCUACUUGGAUGUGUGCCACUUUAAGAGGAGAACAGCUGGUUGAGCCUGAUCCAAGCCUCCAUUACCAAUGCAUUCCUCAGGGACAUCUCCUGCUGCUCCUUCUCCUCCUCCUCCUACAUAGCCAUCCUCCGCAUCUACAUCAGCCAUUACUACAUCAUCAUCUCCGUGACCAUCACCAAGGCCAUUCCCAGCAUCCAUCCCACCCUUACUACCCUCCUUUGCGACGAUGCUACCGAAACCAUCCUCCUCCACAAUACCACCGCCUCCAUCGGCAUCCCUGGUGUCUCCAGAAGUCUUCUCCAUCUCACCACCGGUCUCUACCUUGCCAGUGGUGCCCUCCGAGUACACCUUCUCAUUGCUGUUCACCUCGUACUGGUGCGAGAAGGGAUCGCCUGAGAGGAUACCAGUCUCUACUGGGUUAUCCAUCUUCUAGAAUAAUGUCUGUCUGAUGUCAGCUUGGUAUCGUCAGGUGAUGGAUGAAGCACAGGAUGGAACAGAGAGGGUUCGGUGAAAAAAAAGACGCUUCAAUCGAGCUGAACGUACUUCUGUGAAAGCAAUCAGUGCACAGGGGUGUAACAAUUAGCCAUGGAAGAAAGAUUAGCGAGUGGCUAUACCAUUAUGGUCUGUACAGUUUAGAGAAAUGUGCUAUACAGGAUUAACGUUUGUGAUAGACUUGGGUGUUAACUAUUAGAGUCUACUCUUUGUAUUUUUAACAACAAUAAUCAAUUAAUCAUUUUCAAAAUAUCACAAAUAGAGAUAAAAUAGAGUCAUGUUCUUGUUAUUAAAAGUACCACUACGUAUACCCAUUUCAAAUACAUUUAAUUGUUAACACUGGGCCCUUUAAAAACUAAGAGGAAAACAAAUUAUGCUUUAACAAAAUAGAAUUUUGAUAGUUAUGUCAAGAAGUAAAGACAAUAUUGUAGCAUGAUUUUUUUUUAUAAAGUCAUUAUGUAGGCCUUAUGUUUAUUUGUAUUAUAUUGAGAAUUUCAAUUGCUCUUUGUUCUAACUCAUACAACUUCAUAUUAUUUUCCUUCUGUUGUAAACUGAAACAUCAUUUUAUCAUAUGUCGAGCUUUAUUCUAUGUAACAAAUAUUACAAAAAUAUUUAUGAUUUAAAAAUUUCCUAAGUAUGGUCCUCCAUAUGCACCUUCCAUUCCAUAUACUUUCGGACACACUUCUGUUUCUCUCAAUGAAUCUCAAUCAAUAUAUCAAUGUUUUUAAGACUUGUGCAAUAGUGUAUACAUAAGACAAUGUAUGAUGGGUAACAAAAAUAAACACAAUAGACCUCAUAAGGGGGAACUUUUUCUACUUCAUGAAAGUUCAAGUUAUUCAAGGUUGACUGUGCAACAGAGCUUCUUUUUUAUUUCUGUCAUAGUGUUACUAUGAUACGAACCCUUCUAAUUGGAUUAGACACCUAACCAUGUAGGCAUACUACAGCAUUGUGUUGUGGGAUUAUGGUGCUACAUUAAUCACAGAUAUUCAAAGAUCGUAGAGGCUGUUCACACCGCAAGGGGGGACCGUGGGCGGACCGUGGAUCGCGCUAUCGUAGCGCGAUCCACGGUCCGCCCAUUGGCAUUCGCCGGAUUCACACCGCAGUGAGAUAGCGCGGUCUAUCGUAGCACCCCCUUUUUUGAGAGGUCCUGUUGCCAUGACGCAUUACUUACUAUAUUUCUAUUUUCACGAUGUUCCGACGCGUUUUACUCCAUAAAAUUAGGAGUGUUGAGUUGUA